rnacentral:rRNA from 1 species
UACGGGGGGGGCAAGCGUUGUUCGGAAUUACUGGGCGUAAAGGGCGCGUAGGCGGACAGUUUAGUCAGAGGUGAAAGCCCAGGGCUCAACCUUGGAACUGCCUUUGAUACUGACUGUCUUGAGUUCGGGAGAGGUGAGUGGAAUGCCGAGUGUAGAGGUGAAAUUCGUAGAUAUUCGGCGGAACACCAGUGGCGAAGGCGACUCACUGGCCCGAUACUGACGCUGAGGCGCGAAAGCGUGGGGAGCAAACAGG